GGCCAGAUGGCGGAGUGGUUAUCGCGUUAGCCUAGAAAGCUAAUUCCUUCGGGAGCGCAAGUUCGAAUCUUGUUCUGGUCG
rfam:Glarea lozoyensis 74030 unplaced genomic scaffold M7I_scaffold11, whole genome shotgun sequence.